rfam:Phytophthora infestans T30-4 supercont1.8 genomic scaffold, whole genome shotgun sequence.
AGCACUUUGGCGCAGAGGAAGCGGGUUGGGCUCAUAACCCAAAGUCGUUAUAUCGAGACCAACAAGUGCUA